rnacentral:misc_RNA from 1 species
GAAAUGGUUUGGUUAGCAUAUGACAGUUGUGCUUUAGGAUCGUUAGAUUCGGUAGAAAAGGGAUUAAAACAGAGACAGACAGAGUCUGAAGGUUGAAGAACGUCAUAACAAUAUGUCUGGUCAGCCAUCUUACCUCUGUUAGUGCACCAUUACUGAUUGAAACCGUUUGCUUCUAAAAUAAAACUUAUAUAUUGAUUUGAAUAAAAUAUAAAGAGCUCAAUUGAACAUUAAAUUAUAGUAUAGAGCUCGUAAAUGUAUUUCUCUUGACUUGAUUUGAGUGUACUCAAAAUUUUCUAGCUGCAUUGUAUGCUGUAUGCUUAGUAUCCCAUCCUAAGAUUAUUUUUUGGAUAUUAAGGCUCUGUUUGUUUCACGAAAAAUAUUUUUUGUAUUUUUCAUCGUCUGGGACACUCAGGAAAAUGAAUUAAUAGAAAAUAUUUUUCUGGUCAAAUGGAAAAUUAAGCAAUUUUUAAGGAAAACGACUUCUUUUUCUCAAAAAUAGAAAGUCAUUUUCUGGAAUUUGACAAUCACAUUAAAAUGUGAAAAUAUCUAUACAUGUAUGAUAUAAAUACAUACU